UGUUGCUGUUUGUCUUGGAACUGCAGUUUUCCAUGAAAGAAAGCCUGGUUUAGUCAAGAUAAGUGACCAAAACCAUACUAGAUUGCCAGAAUUCUUGAGGCCCAGAUCCUCACCCAUAGCCCAGCAAGGUGCAUAAUACAGCUGCUCUUCCCUGGCUCACCUUCCUCUAUUCCUCUCCUGAAUCCACAGAGCUGAUCAAGGCUGACUGGAAAGUAAUUCUCUGAAGAGGAGGAAGAGCACGAGGCUGCUGUGCACUGGUGUCUGGCUGCUGCCCUGCUGGAGAUCCAC